UCGGGAAUUUUGGGCAAUGGGCGAAAGCCUGACCCAGCAACGCCGCGUGAAGGAUGAAGUAUCUCGGUAUGUAAACUUCGGAAGAAUGGAAAGAAUAAAUGACGGUACCAUUUUUAAGCCCCGGCUAACUCCGUG
rnacentral:rRNA from 1 species